AGUGAACGCUGGCGGUAGGCCUAACACAUGCAAGUCGAACGGCAGCACAGUAAGAGCUUGCUAUUACGGGUGGCGAGUGGCGGACGGGUGAGGAAUACAUCGGAAUCUACUUUUUCGUGGGGGAUAACGUAGGGAAACUUACGCUAAUACCGCAUACGACCUACGGGUGAAAGCAGGGGAUCUUCGGACCUUGCGCGAUUGAAUGAGCCGAUGUCGGAUUAGCUAGUUGGCGGGGUAAAGGCCCACCAAGGCGACGAUCCGUAGCUGGUCUGAGAGGAUGGUCAGCCACACUGGAACUGAAACACGAUACAGACGCCAGCGGGAGGCCGCAGUGGGGCAUAUUGGACUAUGGGCGCGAGGCUGAUCCAGCCAUACCGCGGGAAGUAAGAGGGCCUUCUGCUUUUAAAGCCAUUUUGUUGGGAAAGAAAAACAAAACAUUAACUCCCCGCUCGUCUGACGGUACCAAAAGAAUAAGCACCGGCUAACUUCGUG
rnacentral:rRNA from 1 species